rnacentral:misc_RNA from 1 species
AAAUUACUGGCGUAAACUUUUCUGUUGUUGUAAUUUUUGGUUUAUAUUUGUGGGUUCUUUGUACUAGUUUCUUUCUUAAUGUUGUUAGCCUAUGAAUCUUUCUUAGAAAGUAGGACAUACUUGCAGAAUGGAGGACAAAAUUAUUUAUAUAUGAUAUAAUGGAUACUAAUUAGUUUGGGUUCAAUGUGGGUUGAAUAUUGUUCUGUUUGUUUAGUACAUUUAAGAGUCCUCGGUUCUAAA